GAAAAUCCAAUUGGUUUGGCUCAUGCUACAGUUGGCUGUCUAGUCUGCUAAUCAUAGCUCUUCUCUUGAUUGGAGUCACGUAUGUCCAUCUUACUUGGAUGAAAAGGAGAUCAGUUAACACAAGUCAGAGGCUGACUGCCUCCAGAAGAAUGGACUUUAAGGAUGAGGGUGAAAUUGUUUAUACAGAACUAAAUCUUCAUAUGCGUAGCAAAAAUCAAGAGUAAGAAUACCCAACAGACUCCAAGAACUUCUACCAGGAGCAUAAAAUUUCAAGAUUUACUUUUUAUGGAUUUGAAACAAAUAAACCUGGAAAAUAAUUGUGCCAUUAUUUUAUUUUUAAUUUAUUUUAUUGUUUGUUUUCUACAUUGUAAGAAACAUAUUAUUGCUAAUACACACAUAAAAAUAAUACGAAUGCUUAAUCAACAAUAAAGAUCUCUUAUAGUUUUGGAAGUUGGUUGCUGAUAAAGGAGAGAACUAUAAUGCCUCGUACACACGGCCAGACUUUUGACUGCAAAAGUCAGCCGUGAUCUCCACAGAAGUCCGACGGACAGAAAGAGAACAGAUUCUCUAUCUAAGGUCCGUCAGACUUCUGAGAAAAAAAGUCAGAUGGAGGCUACACACGGCCGGACUU